rnacentral:rRNA from 1 species
GUAGGUGGCAAGCGUUGUCCGGAUUUACUGGGCGUAAAGGGCUUGUAGGCGGUCCGUUAAGUCCGGUGUGAAAUCUCCCGGCUCAACCGGGAGGGGUCAUCGGAUACUGGCGGACUUGAGGUGGGUAGAGGAAAGCAGAAUUCCCGGUGUAGCGGUGAAAUGCGUAGAUAUCGGGAGGAAUACCAGUGGCGAAGGCGGCUUUCUGGGCCUAUCCUGACGCUGAGGAGCGAAAGCGUGGGGAGCAAACCGGAUUAGAUACCCGGGUAGUCCACGCCCUAAACGGUGGAUGCUAGGUGUAGGGGGUGUCGACCCCCUCUGUGCCGCAGCUAACGCUUUAAGCAUCCCGCCUGGGGAGUACGGCCGCAAGGCUA